AAACCCUACAUAGAUAGGAAAAGAAAAAAUCACAACUGACGAGACACAGAAUGACAAAACAAAGCUCUCUUCCCUGUCCUUAGGAGAAAAUUGUAGCUGCCUGCUCCAGUCCUUGCCUGUGGGAAGAAAAAAAGAAGGUUCAGAAGUAAGGGCUAAAUGUUAUGAAGACCAGAAGCAGCAGCAACUGAGGAGCAGGGCCAGACUGGACAUACGGCGCUGCUUUGUACACUUACAGCUGUGCAAGCAAGGUGAACUCAACCAUUAUAUUAAAAAACCAAACAAAUAAUCAAAAUCACCACCACCAACAAAGUCACAAACUUUCA